UACGUAGGGUGCGAGCGUUGUCCGGAAUUACUGGGCGUAAAGAGCUCGUAGGUGGUUUGUCGCGUUGUUCGUGAAAACCGGGGGCUUAACCCUCGGCGUGCGGGCGAUACGGGCAGACUUGAGUACUGCAGGGGAGACUGGAAUUCCUGGUGUAGCGGUGGAAUGCGCAGAUAUCAGGAGGAACACCGGUGGCGAAGGCGGGUCUCUGGGCCGAAACUGACGCUGAGGAGCGAAAGCGUGGGGAGCGAACAGG
rnacentral:rRNA from 1 species